rnacentral:misc_RNA from 1 species
CACCACUCAAGCCUAGCUUGGUAUUGGAGGUUUGCGGUCUUCUCUCGGCCGCACCUCUCGAAUUCUCCCGGCUGGUAGUUGUACGAAACCCUUGCGUUGUGGAAACAUAUCUCGCUUGUGGGCUCGACCGCUGCCCGGGCCGUAAAAAUCAUUUCACACAA